rnacentral:rRNA from 1 species
UACGGAGGGGGCGAGCGUUAUUCGGAAUUAUUGGGCGUAAAGGGCGCGUAGGCGGCUUGAUAAGUCAAAGGUGAAAUCCCUCGGCUCAACUGAGGAACUGCCUUUGAAACUGUCAGACUUGAGGCCGGGAGGGGGUAGCGGAAUUCCCAGUGUAGCGGUGAAAUGCGUAGAUACUGGGAGGAACACCGGUGGCGAAGGCGGCUACCUGGACCGGUUCUGACGCUGAGGCGCGAAAGCGUGGGGAGCAAACAGG